rnacentral:lncRNA from 1 species
GCAGUAUGUCAAUAUAUCUACAUUAAUUAAUGCAUUAUACUUGAAAAGCAAAUGUAUUAAAAAGAAAACAUGCCAACAACAUGUUUUUCACUUCGUCAGUAACACAUUCAAGAUGACAUCGUACCAAGAAGUAUACUCAAGAAUUGAAACUUGAAAAAUCAGAGGAAAAGAAAUUGAAACCCAGACUACAACGAACUCACAAUCAAAUCUUUCCCACAGCUUUAAAGCUAUUCUGAAUCCCAGAAAAAAUUGAAACCAACCAGUGAACAUAGGGUCUUCUAACUGAAUCACAAUUUUUGGAGAAUCGACUCUAUGAACCUAAAGUAGGAUGAACAGAAUACCACAUGUAUUAUGUUUACCACCCUUCCUAAUUUAACAACACUAACCAACCAAAGUGUUGCUAAAAAAUUAUCGGAAAUGAUAGAGGAGGGCAACAACUAACCAACAACCCUAUCAAGAACCAAACAGAAUACAUGUAAGAACUUGAGCUGCUAGUAAUCAAGGCUGCUGCGAGCCAACAAGUGCAGAAUUUUGCACUUGAAAUCGUACAAACAGACUGCCUAGAUGGUUGCAAAACAAAACAGACCUACAAUAGGGCCCAUCAGUCCAGAUCAAUGUCCUAAGUAUUGCCUGCUAUCGAUGCAAAUUUACUACUCUAAUUGGCCUCUUCAGCAGCUAAGAAGAAUAGAACUCUCAGGAUGGUAAGAGGGCAGGCAAGUCUGGAACAAGAGAAGGAAAAUAGAGCCAAUACGAACAUAUACAGUCAAUGAAUGCUUAAAAAAACAAUUCCAGAAUCGUUUUGACACUUAUACUCGAUUGCACAACUGGAAAGAGAUAAUAUAUGACUCUAUGGGAUUAUCUUUCACUUGCAAAUAAUAACAAAAACUGGUAUUAAUUAGUGCAAGAUCAUGAUAGGAAGAAUCAAAAUACCAAUAAACUUAAGCAAUCGGACAAAUUAAGACUUAGCUUCAACUAAAUCAAUCCAGCAACAACCACACAUUUCCAUUCAACUACAACAUUGAAUUUCCAAAUAACUCUACCAACAGUUAGUAACCAUUAAUAUGAGUUUGGGAAUCGAUACAUGAGCCUAACCCACAAGGAUUCAAAUAUAAACGUGAGCUAAUUUCAAACCAACAUCAAAGAAACACUGAUGGAUUUUUAGCGACGGAUGAGUUAGGAUAAUCUUAGACUCGAUUCAGACUUCAAUUGUUCAAACCAAAAUAAAGCAAAUCUGACCUUGCAUGGUGCUCCCAAACACAGUGAUUUAUAAAGGAAAUAAACAAAAAUGCAGAAAAUGACACGACUCGAGCCUGUAAUUACUGACAUUUACUUAAAUGUGGCAUGUAAUUUCAAUCUCCAUAUCUUAUAUUCAACCAUACUCGGAUUUACACAUACAGAGAAAUCGGUAGAAAGAACGAACUGCACCUGAAGAUUGGGGUUUAAUUCCUCGAAAAUAUUCAGCAACUACACGAACAAAAUCGAUAUCAAAGCUAGAACAAAGACUUGAACCAAACAAUAAGCUCGGACAGAAUCUCCAGUCGGAUAGUAACGCCUAAUCUCGAACCUCAUCUCCAACUCAUAACAAAGAUGAAAUUUCUGAAAUUAAAAGGUGAGACGAACAUAGUUGCUAACUUUAAAUGAAACAAUUUUUGUAUUUUUAUUUGUCACUGGAAUUCAACAAAGAAAAUGCUUAUGAAUUAAAAUAGAAUAAAAGAAGCUUUUUCAGAACCCUCUCUCCCUUUCUCCUCAAAACCAGACCUGGUUUUAUAUAGC